CACAUACAGUUUAUUAAAUGCGAGUAGUAACCAAGUGUGAUGACUUGGAUUUAUAUAUCUGUAGCUUUGCUUGCAGCAAAUACAAUUUCCAUAGAUGGAAGUGACUGUAUAAAUCCAUCAACAAUAAAUCUUAGGGAUGAUCAGUUGAGUGCAUCGACAGAAUAUGGUUCUUAUACUGCACAAGAAGGCAAUCUAAAUGGAGUUGGAUGGGGAGCAUCAAGGUAUGACAAGUUCCAGUACCUUAAAAUUGACCUAAAUGGUGUUUGGCAGAUUACAAGGGUAUUGUUUAGUCGGAUAAAUAAUGGCUGGUACA